GGGGACUGAUGGGAUGAAGUGUCGAUCACUAGGAAGCACUUCCAAAUUUAAAAAGACUGCCAGAUGUUUGCUACCGUUGGGAACUGAUGGCUUGGAGCACACAUCAGCAGUGGGAUCGGACGGUUUAUGACGGGGGAUCAUCUCUGAGGCAUCACUGAGGCUAAAGCAUCUAGUGUGACUGAGUCAGUGCCAUCUCCAAGGAUGUCUGCCAAGAUGUGUCUGCCAAGGAGAUGAAGCACAGGCUGGGUUGAUGAGGACUUACACUCACUGAUGAGAUGUCGCCAUGGCAACAAACACCAAGCAACGACAUUAUCUUGGAUGGAGAUGCAUCAGACACAGUUUUUAAGGCAGCUGAAAAUAUGCAACAAUUUUGUGACCAAAUGCUGCACCUAGGUCUCAUCAGUUUAAGCAUGGUUUAAAAAACAAACUUUGUUAAUUUUGAUUUAAGGUUGACAGAUUUGGCCAUGAAGUUGUCCGAGAGCUGAAUGGUCUCUUUACUUCCCCAUUACUUUGUAUCCUAGUGCCACACCCACAGACCCUGUCUCCCAUUGGGCCAAGAAGACAUCACAAUGGGAUCUCCUUAGAUUUAGUUCUGUUCCGAUGUUCUCUGAAAAAGGACUGUAACAUGGCUGCUUUGUUCGGAAAACUACUGAGAACAAGGUUGAAAAAGUAUAAGGAGACCUCUUUUGAAUUGAAAUUGGGGUACAUUUUCAACGCGAUUAAAAAAAAAGGAAUUUUGUGCAGAACAUGGAGGUAAUGUUCUUAAAACAACGCCUUUCAUUUUGUACAACUUGAUCUUUUGAAUUUCAAUCUAUAUACUCUGAACUGAAUGUUUUCUUCAGCAAUAGAGGUUCAUUUAUUAUUCAAACAGAUGCCUUGCCUUUUUCUGUAUUUUUCUAUCUUAAUAACUUAAUUUUAAAGACAAAACUUUACGCGGAUGACAAAAUAGAUAUUGCUAAAUUCUAAAUCUUUCUCGGACAAAGGGAGUUAAGUUUAUAUUGGAAUUGUAUGUAGUUUCUUAACCAAUUAAUCAUUAGCCGUAGAAUCACUAUAACUCCAUGCUGAAAUGGAGACCAGCAUUUGUGACGUAGGACAUCUUACGUCAAUUGUGUGUUGUACAUUAAAAACAUUUACAUUUAAAACUAUUACUAGAUUUCGCUAUUUCCAAACAUUAUGAACAAAAUUAGAGAAAUAUUUCCGAAAUACAGUAACUCGAGAUGUUUAAUCAUUCCCUUGAUAUUCUGGGGGGUCUAUAUGACCCGAUUUCAAACUUGGCAUGCAUAGGUCAAUAUCGCAAGAGUCCCCCAGUCUUGCAAUGUCAUACCUGCAUUUUAAAAGCUGGUCGUGUGAAGAGUGAAAUGCAAUUAAAUAUGUAAAUAUGAGGUCAUCAUUAAGUCUGCCUUAGAAUCUUUAAGUAUCCUCCUAAUGUCUUGCGCUAUAAUUGUUUAUUGUCUUGAGAGGAUUUCUGAAUAAAUAUUUA